CGGAAGAAAUUCCUUUUAUAUAAUUCUCUGUUGACUAAAUAUCCGACUGGAAUGAUCCCGUCAGCUAUUUUCAGUCUGUUCUUUUUCCUAUUUUAAUAUUACCCCAGACUUUCACAUGACAUAGUUAAUCUCAUUUGCUUCAGCUUUGGACAAAGGGGGGAAAGCCUGUCGUUUCCAGUGCUUGUUCAAUGUGACCACUUUAGGCCAGGCCUGUGUAGGCAGUUGCGUGUUCUGGGCUGCUGCUUUAUUAAUAUAAUUGCAUGGGUAAUGUGCCUACAGUAAAUUUGGACCUGUGUCUUCUGAUCUUUUUUUCCUCUUUAAAAAAAAAUUAUCAAAGCCCACUCGUAUGUCACGUUUGGUAGGGAACUUUAUUUUUCAUGCUAAGCCUUACUCGUUGGGACAAAUAGCUUCUUUUGUGCUAAUAACCAAAUAACUAAAUGAUGCUAGGCUUCAGAGCUGGUAUAUCUGAAGUAGGACAGACAUGCCUAGUGUGAGAUAAACUGCAAUACUUUUGAAGUCAGAAGUAGAAAAAAAAGAAACUGACUGUGCACAAGUAGACUCUUCUGGGUCUUACUGUUUUCCUUCUCACUGUGUGCUGAAACUUUCCAAAGUUGAGCUUUUCUGUCGCACCUUGAUCAUGCCACUUUUUGAGCACUAGUAAGAUAGAGCCAUCAAUAAUUGAUUCACCAGAACAAAAUCUGUGGGCUCUUCAAGAAGUGGCUUAUGUCUGCAGUCACUAUUUUAUUAGGCAUUUGAAGACAAAAAAAAAAAAAAAAAGAUGGUUUCAAACUCCAACACCUCUUGCCACUCUCUCUUCCUUUGAAGUUAAGGGGAAAAGAAAGAUAUUUUCAAUACAACUGACAGGUCCAAGCGCAGCAGUUUAUCUUUAAAAGAUGUCACUUGCACAGAACUGCGUGGAAUUCACAAUGUAACCUCAAAAUCUCACGAUGACUAUUGUGUGAAACGGUUUUCCAGUUCGGUACUUAUUUACCAUUUACAGCAACUCUGUACUUUUCUAGAUUUUAAAAAAUGGCGGUGCAAUCCCAUGCCAUCUCCUUCGUACAAGGUCUAGGAGACGUGUGAUUAUACCCAUUUUGGGAAUGGAGCAGGUGAUUGAUGGACAUUGUGUCCUGUCUCCUGCUGUAUCCAAGGAGCAGCAAUUAUAAAGACUGACGCCAGUGCAGAUGUGCCUUAAAGAUGCUGCCUUUUAACUGACCAGC
ensembl:lncRNA